rnacentral:rRNA from 1 species
UACAGAGACUGCAAGCGUUAUUCGGAUUCACUGGGCGUAAAGGGUGCGCAGGCGGUUGGGUGUGUCAGAUGUGAAAUCCCGAGGCUCAACCUCGGAACUGCGUCUGAAACUACUCGACUAGAGUACUGGAGAGGGUAACGGAAUUCACGGUGUAGCAGUGAAAUGCGUAGAUAUCGUGAGGAACACCAGAGGCGAAGGCGGUUACCUGGACAGUUACUGACACUGAGACACGAAGGCCAGGGGAGCAGACGGG